UGGAGUUGAUGAACUGUCUUAGCCUGACCAUGUAGAGUGGAGGCAUAAAACUGAUUUAAUGAGCCUGAUCC
ensembl:snoRNA SNORD57 small nucleolar RNA, C/D box 57